GGGUAUAGUUCUUCGGAACUAGAGACCGGCGCACGGGUGCGUAACGCGUAUGCAAUCUACCUUUCACAGAGGGAUAGCCCAGAGAAAUUUGGAUUAAUACCUCAUAGUAUAAUGAGUUGGCAUCAACACAUUAUUAAAGUCACAACGGUGAAAGAUGAGCAUGCGUCCCAUUAGCUAGAUGGUAAGGUAACGGCUUACCAUGGCUACGAUGGGUAGGGGUCCUGAGAGGGAGAUCCCCCACACUGGUACUGAGACACGGACCAGACUCCUACGGGAGGCAGCAGUGAGGAAUAUUGGACAAUGGGCGCAAGCCUGAUCCAGCCAUGCCGCGUGCAGGAUGACGGUCCUAUGGAUUGUAAACUGCUUUUGUACAGGAAGAAACACUGGUUCGUGAACCAGCUUGACGGUACUGUAAGAAUAAGGAUCGGCUAACUCCGUGCCAGCAGCCGCGGUAAUACGGAGGAUCCAAGCGUUAUCCGGAAUCAUUGGGUUUAAAGGGUCCGUAGGCGGUUUAGUAAGUCAGUGGUGAAAGCCCAUCGCUCAACGGUGGAACGGCCAUUGAUACUGCUAAACUUGAAUUAUUAGGAAGUAACUAGAAUAUGUAGUGUAGCGGUGAAAUGCUUAGAGAUUACAUGGAAUACCAAUUGCGAAGGCAGGUUACUACUAAUGGAUUGACGCUGAUGGACGAAAGCGUGGGUAGCGAACAGGAUUAGAUACC
rnacentral:rRNA from 1 species